rnacentral:lncRNA from 10 species
AUGAAGUUCCACCCAUAUCCCAGGAUACGAAUUUUUUCCUCCCACAUGACACUGACUCUUCAUUAAAAAUAUUUUAAUGUCUUCUAGAUGCCAGACAUAUACCAAUCCUAAAAAAUAACCACAGCCAAAUAGCAAGAGGAAGAUUAUGGCAUAAGGCGAUGGUUCUUUUCAAAGAUUGUCAGCUGUAUCAGUCUGAAGCUCAAAGCAAUACCACAUAAGAAGACAAAGAGAAUCCGACUAUGUAACAGUCAGAACAAAGAGCCCCAACCAAGAUAUUUCCAGCCAUGACAAUGGCCAGAUUCAUCAUUGCCAAACUUGAAAAGGCCAAAGGUCAGUUUGGGGGUUUUAAAAUGUUUUUGACAAAUAUUUAUGAAAUAAGGGAAAUUUCACUUGUUUAAAAUAUGUAUGUGGGAGUAAAAACGGGAAAGAAAUAUACUACUAUAUAAAUAAUUGUUAUCUAUGUGAUAUGGUUUGGCUGUGUCCCCACCUAAAUCUCAUCUUGAAUUCUAGUUCCCAUAAUCCCCACGUGUCAUGGGAGGGACCUGGGGGGAGGUCAUUGAAUCAUGGGGGUGGUUACCCUCAUGCUGUUCUCGUGAUAGUGAGUUCUCACGAGAUCUGAUGGUUUUGUAAGGGGCUUUUCCUCCACUUCGCUCUGCACUUCUCCUUGAUGCCACCAUGAGAAGAAGGACAUGUUUGCUUCCCCUCCCACCAAGAUUUUAAGUUUCCUGAGGCCUCCCCAGCCAUGCUGAACUGUGAGUCAAUUAAACC